UACGUAGGGGGCUAGCGUUGUCCGGAAUCAUUGGGCGUAAAGAGCGUGUAGGCGGCCCGGUAAGCCCGCUGUGAAAGUCAAAGGCUCAACCUUUGAAUGUCAGCGGAUACUGCCGGGCUAGAGUCCGGAAGAGGCGAGUGGAACUCCUGGUGUAGCGGUGGAAUGCGCAGAUAUCAGGAAGAACACCAACGGCGAAGGCAGCUCGCUGGGACGGUACUGACGCUGAGACGCGAAAGCGUGGGGAGCGAACAGG
rnacentral:rRNA from 1 species